AUUCAUACACAACAGAAGUUCACUCAGUCUCAGUGCUGUCAGUCAACCAUCAGCUGCUCUCAUAUUUUCAUUCAUUUCAUAAAACCACAUUCAGCAGAAUUUGGAGUUCAUAAUGAUUAUAUAAUGAAUCAAUUUAAAAAGUAUUAGAAACUAGAAAUCUGAUCUUUAUAGUGGACUUCAGUUAAGAUGGAGGAGAGGCAGAUGAUACUCAUAAUGUUCAUCACAGUUUCAGGCAUUUAUGCUGAUAGAAUUGGUCCAAGAGAAGGAGACACUAAUAUAAUCAGAGAAGAAGGAGAGUCUGUGACACUGAGCUGCACAUAUGAAACAACCAGCAAUAAUAUUUGGCUCUACUGGUACAGACAAUAUCCAAACAGAGAACCAGAAUAUAUACUGUUUAAAGGCGCUCGAUCAUUUAGCAGUGAGAAUAUACCAGAUGGGUUUCAGUCGACUACAUCCCAGACAUCCACUGAACUUACUAUUGUAAAAGCAGCUCUGUCAGAUUCUGCUCUUUAUUACUGUGCACUUCGAGUAGCCCAGUGAUACAAAAUACCAGAGAAGC